UUAUAAAUGAAGAAACUGAGGCCCACAUUCUAGCCCUGGCCUCUGAGUGGUACUAUUUCACUGUGAGCUCCAUGUACCUUGGAGAAAUAUGAUCAGCACCUCCUCCAAAGUGUGGCUACUAUCAGAAUGCCCCAUCAGAGUUCUAAUGGGAAGAAGAAAAAUGGCUCAGAAGAGGUCUUGUUCCCUCGCCCAGAUAAGAUGUGUGAAGACAGACGUAUAACAGACCGACUGACACUCAAUGAGCUGACCACUGAUGGACAGCUGUAUCACCUCUCUUUGUUUAUAAUAAAGUCCCAGCUAAG